CCGAGUGCGUCCGUUAAUUCGGACUCCUCCCACCCUUGUGUAUUUUCGCUGAAAAGCAGCUUCGGCGGGCCGUCAAACUUCAGAAUCAAAAGUUUUGACAUCGGCCCUGUGCGGAUUUGUGCCCGCCGAAGAACCAACUCUUGACAAUAUGAAGUCUGAUAAAACAAACAAAAAUAAAUCA
rnacentral:misc_RNA from 1 species